rnacentral:rRNA from 1 species
UAGGGAAUCUUCGGCAAUGGACGGAAGUCUGACCGAGCAACGCCGCGUGAGUGAAGAAGGUUUUCGGAUCGUAAAGCCCUGUUGUUAGAGAAGAACGUUGGUAGGAGUGGAAAAUCUACCAAGUGACGGUAACUAACCAGAAAGGGACGGCUAACUACGUGCCAGCAGCCGCGGUAAUACGUAGGUCCCGAGCGUUGUCCGGAUUUAUUGGGCGUAAAGCGAGCGCAGGCGGUUCUUUAAGUCUGAAGUUAAAGGCAGUGGCUUAACCAUUGUACGCUUUGGAAACUGGAGGACUUGAGUGCAGAAGGGGGGAGUGGAAUUCCAUGUGUAGCGGUGAAAUGCGUAGAUAUAUGGAGGAACACCGGUGGCGAAAGCGGCUCUCUGGUCUGUAACUGACGCUGAGGCUCGAAAGCGUGGGGAGCAAACAGG